rnacentral:rRNA from 1 species
GACGAGAAGCUUGCUUCUCUGAUGUUAGCGGCGGACGGGUGAGUAACACGUGGAUAACCUACCUAUAAGACUGGGAUAACUUCGGGAAACCGGAGCUAAUACCGGAUAAUAUUUUGAACCGCAUGGUUCAAAAGUGAAAGACGGUCUUGCUGUCACUUAUAGAUGGAUCCGCGCUGCAUUAGCUAGUUGGUAAGGUAACGGCUUACCAAGGCAACGAUGCAUAGCCGACCUGAGAGGGUGAUCGGCCACACUGGAACUGAGACACGGUCCAGACUCCUACGGGAGGCAGCAGUAGGGAAUCUUCCGCAAUGGGCGAAAGCCUGACGGAGCAACGCCGCGUGAGUGAUGAAGGUCUUCGGAUCGUAAAACUCUGUUAUUAGGGAAGAACAUAUGUGUAAGUAACUGUGCACAUCUUGACGGUACCUAAUCAGAAAGCCACGGCUAACUACGUGCCAGCAGCCGCGGUAAUACGUAGGUGGCAAGCGUUAUCCGGAAUUAUUGGGCGUAAAGCGCGCGUAGGCGGUUUUUUAAGUCUGAUGUGAAAGCCCACGGCUCAACCGUGGAGGGUCAUUGGAAACUGGAAAACUUGAGUGCAGAAGAGGAAAGUGGAAUUCCAUGUGUAGCGGUGAAAUGCGCAGAGAUAUGGAGGAACACCAGUGGCGAAGGCGACUUUCUGGUCUGUAACUGACGCUGAUGUGCGAAAGCGUGGGGAUCAAACAGGAUUAGAUACCCUGGUAGUCCACGCCGUAAACGAUGAGUGCUAAGUGUUAGGGGGUUUCCGCCCCUUAGUGCUGCAGCUAACGCAUUAAGCACUCCGCCUGGGGAGUACGACCGCAAGUG